rnacentral:rRNA from 1 species
GACGAACGCUGGCGGCGUGCUUAACACAUGCAAGUCGAACGGAAAGGCCCUGCUUUUGUGGGGUGCUCGAGUGGCGAACGGGUGAGUAACACGUGAGUAACCUGCCCUUGACUUUGGGAUAACUUCAGGAAACUGGGGCUAAUACCGGAUAUGAGCUCCUGCUGCAUGGUGGGGGUUGGAAAGUUUCGGCGGUUGGGGAUGGACUCGCGGCUUAUCAGCUUGUUGGUGGGGUAGUGGCUUACCAAGGCUUUGACGGGUAGCCGGCCUGAGAGGGUGACCGGCCACAUGGGGACUGAGAUACGGACCAGAAUCCUACGGGAGGCAGCAGUGGGGAAUAUUGCACAAUGGGCGGAAGCCUGAUGCAGCAACGCCGGGUGCGGGAUGACGGCCUUCGGGUGGUAAACCGAUUUCGCAGGUGACGAAGCGUGAGUGACGGUAAUGGGUAAAGAAGCACCGGCUAACUACGUG